rnacentral:rRNA from 1 species
AAAUUGAAGAGUUUGAUCAUGGCUCAGAUUGAACGCUGGCGGCAGGCCUAACACAUGCAAGUCGAGCGGCAGCGGGAAAGUAGCUUGCUACUUUUGCCGGCGAGCGGCGGACGGGUGAGUAAUGCCUGGGGAUCUGCCCAGUCGAGGGGGAUAACUACUGGAAACGGUAGCUAAUACCGCAUACGCCCUACGGGGGAAAGCAGGGGACCUUCGGGCCUUGCGCGAUUGGAUGAACCCAGGUGGGAUUAGCUAGUUGGUGAGGUAAYGGCUCACCAAGGCGACGAUCCCUAGCUGGUCUGAGAGGAUGAUC